rnacentral:rRNA from 1 species
UGGGGAAUCUUGCGCAAUGCGCGAAAGCGUGACGCAGCAACGCCGCGUGGGGGAAGAAGGCCUUCGGGUCGUAAACCCCUUUCAGGAGGGACGAAGCCUCGGGAGUGAAUAGCUCUCCGAGGUGACGGUACCUCACGAAGAAGCCCCGGCUAACUACGUGCCAGCAGCCGCGGUAAUACGUAGGGGGCUAGCGUUGUCCGGAAUCAUUGGGCGUAAAGCGCGCGUAGGCGGCCAGAUAAGUCCGGUGUGAAAGUCAAAGGCUCAACCUUUGAAUGCCGCUGGAUACUGCCUGGCUUGAGUCCGGAAGGGGCGAGUGGAAUUCCUGGUGUAGCGGUGAAAUGCGCAGAUAUCAGGAGGAACACCAAUGGCGAAGGCAGCUCGCUGGAACGGUACUGACGCUGAGGCGCGAAAGCGUGGGGAGCGAACAG